AGAAAAAAUUAAUUGGUGUUGUUAAUAAAAAUAGGGAUAUUAAUUUAGUAAUAAAAUUGAAUUUUUGGGAUUAUCGAUAGGUUAGUGUAUUGUAAGAGAAUUUUGAAAAAUUGAAAAAUAUUUUUUAGAGAAGUUAUGUUUUGUACCUUUUGUAUUAGGGGAUAACUAAAUUAAUUAAAUAUUUAUUUUUCCCGAAAAAUUUUGAGCUACUUGUACAUUUUUAUGUUGUUGCAAAAAUAUAGAUUAGUGUUAAGUAGAAAUGAAAUUUUAUUCGAAAAGUUGGAUAUCUGGUUAUUUUAGAGAAAUUAAAUAUUUUAAAUAAUUAUUUCAUUUUUAUGAAGUUAUUUAUUUACUUUUUAGGGAUAAGCUUAAAAAGUUGAUAUAAAGAUUUUAUUGUAAGGUUGUUUAAGGUUUAAAAUUUACUGAGUUUUUGUAAUAAAAUAGCUAGAUGGUUUUCAAAUGUUAUUGAUUUUUUUUUUAAGUAAUUAAAUUUAAGAAAAUUUAUGUUAAUAUUAGUAUAAAUUUGGAUUUUUAAUAAAAUUAAUAGUAUUUUAAUGAAGUGAUUAAAUUUAUAGGAAUUAGGCAAUAUAAAUUUUUGAAUGUUUAUCAAAAACAUUGUAUUUUGAGGUAGUGAAAUAUAAAACCUGCUCAAUGAUGCUUAAAUUGCUGUGGUAUUUUGACUAUACAAAGGUAUUGAAAUAAGGCUUUAAUUGAGUGCUAAGAGAAUGGUUUAACAAAAAUUAACUUUCUUUAAGUUUAUAAUAGAAGUUGAUUUAAAAAUGAAAAAGUUUUUAUUUAUUUUUGGGACAAGAAGACCCUAUGAAUUUUUUCUAUGACUUUGUUUAAAAUUUUUUGAAAAUAAAAUGAAGUAAAUUUAUAAGUUGAUUGGGGUGAUUUUUAAAGAAUAUUUAUCUUUAAAAUUUGAAGGAAUUAGAACCAAAAAUUUUGGUUGUUUGAAUAAAAUACUCUAGGGAUAACAGCGUAAUUAUUUUGGAUAGUUCAUAUAGAUAAAAUAGUUUGCGACCUCGAUGUUGGAUUAAGAUACUAGUAUAAUGAAGCAGUUAUAUUAAGAAGUUUGCUCAACUUUUGAAAUCUUACAUGAUCUGAGUUCAGACCGGCGUAAGCCAGGUUGGUUUCUAUCUGAAUAAGUAUAAGAAAUUUUUUAGUACGAAAGGAAUUAAAUUUAUAAAUUAUUUAGUUAAUUAUUUUGAAUAUAAUGUUAAUAUUCUA
rnacentral:rRNA from 1 species